rnacentral:rRNA from 1 species
UCAAUAAGCGGAGGAAAAGAAACCAACCGGGAUUGCCCUAGUAACGGCGAGUGAAGCGGCAAGAGCUCAAAUUUGAAAGCUGGCUCCUUCGGGGUCCGCAUUGUAAUUUGCAGAGGAUGCUUCGGGAGCGGUCCCCAUCUAAGUGCCCUGGAACGGGCCGUCAUAGAGGGUGAGAAUCCCGUAUGGGAUGGGGUGCCCGCGCCCGUGUGAAGCUCCUUCGACGAGUCGAGUUGUUUGGGAAUGCAGCUCUAAUUGGGUGGUAAAUUUCAUCUAAAGCUAAAUAUUGGCCGGAGACCGAUAGCGCACAAGUAGAGUGAUCGAAAGAUGAAAAGCACUUUGAAAAGAGAGUUAAACAGCACGUGAAAUUGUUGAAAGGGAAGCGCUUGCGAUCAGACUCGCUCGCGGGGUUCAGCCGGCCUUCGGGCCGGUGUACUUCCCCGCGGGCGGGCCAGCGUCGGUUUGGGCGGCCGGUCAAAGGCCCCUGGAAUGUAACGCCUCUCGGGGCGUCUUAUAGCCAGGGGUGCCAUGCGGCCUGCCCGGACCGAGGAACGCGCUUCGGCUCGGACGCUGGCAUAAUGGUCGUAAGCGACCCGUCUUGAAACACGGACCAAGGAGUCUAACAUCUACGCGAGUGUUCGGGUGUCAAACCCGUGCGCGCAGUGAAAGCGAACGGAGGUGGGAACCCCUCGGGGUGCACCAUCGACCGAUCCUGAUGUCUUCGGAUGGAUUUGAGUAAGAGCGUAGCUGUUGGGACCCGAAAGAUGGUGAACUAUGCCUGAAUAGGGCGAAGCCAGAGGAAACUCUGGUGGAGGCUCGCAGCGGUUCUGACGUGCAAAUCGAUCGUCAAAUUUGGGUAUAGGGGCGAAAGACUAAUCGAACCAUCUAGUAGCUG